AAGCGGUUUGCUGAGAGCGCUUCGUUCACACCGAAGAGGUCACUGGUUCGAUCCCAGUAUCGCCCACCG
rnacentral:tRNA from 1 species